ACAGGUAAUUGAUGUACGGUAAAGAGGAAAAACCUUCUUCUCUAUUAUCCAGCAUUUGUCUUGUUAUUGCAAAUAUCAUCUUUCAUAAAUGAAGAAACAGUAUCUUGUAAAAAAUAAUACCAUUAUCAUCAGUGGGUAUGUUGCAAAAGAGUAUAAGAGUGCUUUUCGUACUUUACACCAUUCCAAUCGGUUGCCUUAAACAUUUUGUGGAAAUUUGAUGCUUUUAUUGUCUUAAAGUUUAACAUUUUCCAACUGUAGAGUUUUAGUGAUUCAGAGAAUUGUGCUCUACAGGGACAUUAAAGGAGCAAAUUUGCUUGUUGAUUC
rnacentral:misc_RNA from 1 species